GACGAACGCUGGCGGCGUGCCUAAUACAUGCAAGUCGAGCGGAAGUUGGAGAGCUUGCUCUUCAACUUUAGCGGAGGACGGGUGAGUAACACGUUGGCCACCUGCCCUGCAGGUCAGGAUAACUCCGGGAAAACGGUGCUAACACCGAAUAGUCUUCGCCACCUUCUGGUGGCGUACGGAACGAGGGUUUCAGCUGUCACCGCAGGAUGGGGGCGCGGCUCAUUAGCUAGUUGGUGGGGUAACGGCCCACCAAGGCGACGAUGCGUAGCCGACCUGAGAGGGUGAACGGCCACACUGGGACUGAGACACGGCCCAGACUCCUACGGGAGGCAGCAGUAGGGAAUCUUCCGCAAUGGACGAAAGUCUGACGGAGCAACGCCGCGUGAGUGACGAAGGUUUUCGGAUCGUAAAACUCUGUUGUGAGGGAAGAACAAGUACCAACUAACUCCUGGUACCUUGACGGUACCUCACCAGAAAGCCACGGCUAACUACGUGCCAGCCGCCGCAGUAAUAC
rnacentral:rRNA from 1 species